AACAUUGUCCUGCAGAAGCUGAAGCCCAGUGCCCCUUACACCAUCACCCUGUCCACCCUGCAUCCUGAUGGGGAAGGAGGUCAGAUGAUGGGGAGAGGCAACACCAGUGCCAAUCCCUGGGAAUACCAAUUAUGCCAUUCUGAGGAAUCUGUAGCCAGAUACCCCAUACACCAUUACGGUGGUUCUCGUUUAUCCUGAGGGUGAUGGAGGGUGUACAUCAUACACUGGAAGGACAUGGAAUGGUGAGAGGACUGGCCAGAAAUGUCCAACUGUACAAUCCGAUGCCAAACAGCUGGGACGUUGGCUGGACCCCGCCCCUGGCCGGUGCAGCAGCUCCCCUGGCUGGCACGAGGCCCCUGGAACCUGUAAGUACUGUUGUCAGCUUAGAGCUGGCAGAAGAAUUUUGUAGAUUUUAUGGCACCUUCUGCUGUAGUUGCUGGUGCAGGGCAGUAGAUGAGUUGGUGUGGCCCUGGGUCACAUGCACACUCAUUUCCUGAUGAAU